GCAAGUCGAACGAACUCUGGUAUUGAUUGGUGCUUGCAUCAUGAUUUACAUUUGAGUGAGUGGCGAACUGGUGAGUAACACGUGGGAAACCUGCCCAGAAGCGGGGGAUAACACCUGGAAACAGAUGCUAAUACCGCAUAACAACUUGGACCGCAUGGUCCGAGUUUGAAAGAUGGCUUCGGCUAUCACUUUUGGAUGGUCCCGCGGCGUAUUAGCUAGAUGGUGGGGUAACGGCUCACCAUGGCAAUGAUACGUAGCCGACCUGAGAGGGUAAUCGGCCACAUUGGGACUGAGACACGGCCCAAACUCCUACGGGAGGCAGCAGUAGGGAAUCUUCCACAAUGGACGAAAGUCUGAUGGAGCAACGCCGCGUGAGUGAAGAAGGGUUUCGGCUCGUAAAACUCUGUUGUUAAAGAAGAACAUAUCUGAGAGUAACUGUUCAGGUAUUGACGGUAUUUAACCAGAAAGCCACGGCUAACUACGUGCCAGCAGCCGCGGUAAUACGUAGGUGGCAAGCGUUGUCCCGGAUUUAUUGGGCGUAAAGCGAGCGCAGGCGGUUUUUUAAGUCUGAUGUGAAAGCCUUCGGCUCAACCGAAGAAGUGCAUCGGAAACUGGGAAACUUGAGUGCAGAAGAGGACAGUGGAACUCCAUGUGUAGCGGUGAAAUGCGUAGAUAUAUGGAAGAACACCAGUGGCGAAGGCGGCUGUCUGGUCUGUAACUGACGCUGAGGCUCGAAAGUAUGGGUAGCAAACAGGAUUAGAUACCCUGGUAGUCCAUACCGUAAACGAUGAAUGCUAAGUGUUGGAGGGUUUCCGCCCUUCAGUGCUGCAGCUAACGCAUUAAGCAUUCCGCCUGGGGAGUACGGCCGCAAGGCUGAAACUCAAAGGAAUUGACGGGGGCCCGCACAAGCGGUGGAGCAUGUGGUUUAAUUCGAAGCUACGCGAAGAACCUUACCAGGUCUUGACAUACUAUGCAAAUCUAAGAGAUUAGACGUUCCCUUCGGGGACAUGGAUACAGGUGGUGCAUGGUUGUCGUCAGCUCGUGUCGUGAGAUGUUGGGUUAAGUCCCGCAACGAGCGCAACCCUUAUUAUCAGUUGCCAGCAUUAAGUUGGGCACUCUGGUGAGACUGCCGGUGACAAACCGGAGGAAGGUGGGGAUGACGUCAAAUCAUCAUGCCCCUUAUGACCUGGGCUACACACGUGCUACAAUGGAUGGUACAACGAGUUGCGAACUCGCGAGAGUAAGCUAAUCUCUUAAAGCCAUUCUCAGUUCGGAUUGUAGGCUGCAACUCGCCUACAUGAAGUCGGAAUCGCUAGUAAUCGCGGAUCAGCAUGCCGCGGUGAAUACGUUCCCGGGCCUUGUACACACCGCCCGUCACACCAUGAGAGUUUGUAACACCCAAAGUCGGUGGGGUAACCUUUUAGGAACCAGCCGCU
rnacentral:rRNA from 2 species